rnacentral:rRNA from 1 species
GUCUAUGGCCAUACCACCCUGAAUGCGUCCGAUCUCGUCUGAUCUCGGAAGCUAAGCAGGGUCGGGCCUGGUUAGUACCUGGAUGGGAGACCGCCUGGGAAUACCGGGUGCUGUAGCCU